GCCCAAUUAGGAGAAAAAAAGGAAAGGACAAUUAUAAUUGCAGCCAAUCAUAAUGGCUUAAUGGAGGUAAUGUUUUGAAAACUAUUAAUGUGCUUUUCUAUUUUGCUUCCUUCCUUUCUUGACCUUUGCUCUAGGUGUCUUGAGGCAUCCAUCAUCCUGGAAGAAGACUAUGAUUUAUAACAGAAGGAAUGCAAAAAGAAAGAACAAGUUAAUAUUUCUCUUUUGGCAUGUCAAAUAGAAUUAUUCAGCAAGACAAUAACCUUGCAAGCCAGGCGUUGUCUUGAAAAACCAUUUCCAAAUUUCUUUAAUCCUUCCCUUUGGCUUUUCAACAAUGCAGCCUGAUUGAACCAGUUUAUGGAGUUCUCCCUAAGUGCAGAGAAAAUACCCAUAUCCUUUAUUAGGGUAUCUCUAAGAAACUGAAGUAUGGAGGGCAUGAUGCAGGGGAAAUCUGUCAUUUUGGGGCCCUUUGUGAUAGAGAGAAAGAGAGAGAAAGAGGAAGAAGAAGAUGAGAGAAUCAGUUUUGAUCAUGUAUUCUCCCAGCUUUGGCCCAGAAAAUAGGGAGGCCUAUUGGAUGAGUGGGGAUAUCACCAAGGGCAGAGGAAGCUUUUGUCCUUCUUCCUGCUUGAGACUCUGCAGAAUAGACUGUCAUCCUGGGGUGUGACCACAUCCACAUGGCAGUGUGGUAUGACCUGGCAGAGGGAGUCCUUGACACUUAGUUUUCCUGAGCCAUUCUUAUUUCCAGUGAGGCACAGAUGGACCCAGAAAAUGGUGGGAGUUUGGCUGGGGAGUAUUACCAAUGGGAGUCACCAUGGCUGGGCAAGGUCAAGGUACUCCGUAGCAAGGGCUGCCCAGUGGACCACCUGGGCCAGGCCAAUUGGAGUCACAGCAAAUGGGAAGGAGUCUAGACCCAAUAGAUGAGUCCAAAAAGCUGCAGAGAGCGAGAGCUAGCAAGGCAGUCCCCUGGGCUCUGAUCUGCUGAGGAAAACCUAGGCUGUAAGUUACUCUUGUACAGACACAGACUUCAGCUGUGAAUCCCAGUAGGGUAAGAUGCACGCAGGUGGAUCAGGGACUUCCACCUAACCCUGCCUAGAAGAGUAAGAGGAAUCUGACCUUUUGCCUGCCGCGAAGGUGUUCAAGCUCCACCUGUCCCUCUUCAUAUGCAGAUGUCAUCUUGGAGGGGAGCUAGAAGACUGAUGUGUUUGAGAAACUAAGCCUUUAUUUCCCCUCAGAGGGGACCAUUCUUUGAAGGGACCAUUUAAAUUAUCGUGUAAUACGAAGGUUCAAACUUUAUUAGAUAUUAAAACAAUCAGUUUGUCCUUUUGAAUGGCUUUUGGCUAUUUCCAAAAUUCAAAUCCGUUAGAAGACAAAGAUUAGACAUACUGAAAUGCUUCUAAAAAUAUUCUAACUGGUGAAUAUAUGAGAAAAGAAUUAACCUCAUUAAUUAUCCACUCGAAUGUAAACUAAAAC
rnacentral:lncRNA from 10 species